rnacentral:lncRNA from 1 species
AGGAGGCCAAGGCACAAGAGUUUCUUAAACCCAGGAGGCAGAGGUUGCAGCAAGCCGAGAUCCCACCACUGCACUCCAGCCUGGGCAACAGAGUGAGACCCUGCCUCCAACAACAACAACAACAACAACAAAAAGUGUAAUCCUUUUUAUUUAACUUGUUGGACUUGAUAAAACUCUAAGAAUUCUUGUGUUGAUGUUCAUGAGGGAUAAUUGUCUUCUUUUCUUGCAAUGUCUGAUUUGGGGAUCAAAGCAAUGCUGGCCUCAGAGACAGAACUGAGUAUUCUUUCCUCUUAUAUUUCUUGUGAGAGGUUGUGCAGAAUUAGUAUUAUUCCCUUAAAUACGUGGCAACAUUUACCACUAAAGCUACCUAUGUCUACCGUUUUCUUUGUGAUAACACAUCUUUCAUAGAGCUAUGUAGGUUUUCCACUUCUUCCUAAGUAAACUAAUUUGUAUCUUUUAAGGAAUCUGCAUGGGUUCAUCUAAAUUGUCAAAUGUAUUCCUAGAAGUUAUUCGUAAUAGUCUCUUAUUAUUGUUGUAAUAUCUGUAGAAUCUGUAGUGAAGCUACCUAAUUUCUGACAUUGGUAAUCUAUCUUUUCUCCUGAUCAGUCUAAAGAGAAUUUUCUUGAGCUUCUCAAAGAACCAGCUUUUGGUUAAUUAAUUUUCUAUAUUUUCUCUUCCUAAUGUCUAAUUUCUGUUUUACUUGCAUGAUUUCCCCUUUUCUGUGUACACUUUUAAUUUGGUCUUUUUUUCCUAGUUUCUUAAAGUGGAAGCUGAGGUCACUGAUUUGAGACCUUUUUUUCUAACACAGGCAUUGAGCCCUAUAAAUUCCCCUCAGUACUGCUUUACUUGCAUCACGGGAUACAAAGCCGACACAAAAGCCAACUGUAUUUCUAUACACCAGCAAUGAACAAGUAGAAACCAAAAAUCAGAAAAACAAUACCAUUUACAACAGCUCCAAGAAAAUAGUUACAAAUCUAAGAAAAUAUGUACAAGAUCUGUAUGCUAAAACUAUAAAAUGCUGAAGAAAGAAACUAAACAUGCAAAUAAAUGGAGAGACACGUCAUGUUCACGGAUUAAAAGGCGAUCAUAAAUAUGUUAAUUCUCCCCAAACUUAUCUAUAGAUUUAAUGCAAUUCUAAUCAAAAUCCCAGCAGGACUUUUGUAGCUAAGCUAAUCCUAAAAUUUAAAUGGAAAGGUAACACUGAUACAAUAGUCAAAAUAAUUUUAAAAGAAAAAUAAAAUUGGAAGAAUUAUAUUACCAGAUUUUAAUACUUAUUACAAAGCUAUAGUCAUCUUGACUUAUGUGGUAUUGGCAAAAGGAGAGAUGUACAGAUCAAUGGGAGAAAAUAAAAAGUCUAGAAAUAGACCCAUACCAAUAUGGCUAAUUCCUGACAAAGAUAUAAAAGAAAUUCAGCAGAGAAAGGAUAGUCUUUCCAACAAAUGGUGCUGGAACAACUAGACAUCCAUCCAUAUGACCUAGGACUAGACAAUAGUUUCUUAGACAUGACAAAAAAAUCACACUCUAUUUUAAAAAUUUAAUUAAUUGGACUUCAUCAAAUUAAAAUUUUUGUUCUCUGAAAAACACUGGUAAGUAAACAAAAAGACAAGCUGGGCUAGGCAUGGCGGCUCAUGCCUACAAUCUCAGCAUUUUGGGAGGCCAAGGCAGAAGGAUCACUUCAGGCCAGGAGUUCGAGACCAGCCUGGCCAACGUAGCAAGAUCCCAUCUCUAAAAAAAAAAAAAAAAAAAAAAAAAAAUUUUUUUUUUAAAGACAAGCUACAGACUGGGAGAAAAUGCUGCAAAACACAUAUCUGACAACAUAUUUGUAUCCAUAAUAUGUAGAUUCUUAAACCCAAUGGUAAUAUAACAAUCCAAUUUUAAGAUGAACAAAAGAUUUGAAGACUCUUCACCAAAGACAUACAGAUGACAGAAAUGCACAUGAAAAGAUGUUCACCAUCAGCCAUUAGGGAAAUUCAAAUUAAAGCCAUGAUUAGAUAUCAGUACACACCUAUCAGAAUGGCUAAAAUAAGAAACAGACAAUACCAAGUGCUGAUAAAUAUGCAGACCAAUUGGAAUUACCUUUCUGCUGAAUAACAACUUUUUCUUAAACACACUAUGUAAAGAUGCUUUAAGUGAUAUUUUGAUAUUGUGCUUUUAGACAGACACACUCGCCAAUUGACUCAGUACAAGUGUCUAGUCAGAGAAUAUAGGGAAAAAAAUUUGAAUUGCACAACAUAUGUGAACAAAACAUAAAAUGCUUUUCUUGGCAUGGGUAGAAACUUCCAGACUUCCGUCUAUUGUGUUCACUAUUUCCUCAUUUUUAAAAGUGUUCUUGGAUUUAGGCUUUAUUUUGUCCUUAAGCAGAACUUCUGAAAAAGUUCAAAUAGUAAACAUAU